rnacentral:tRNA from 1 species
GCCGCCUUAGCUCAGUUGGUAGAGCACCUGAUUUGUAAUCAGGGGGUCGCGGGUUCGACUCCUGCAGGCGGCACCA